AUGGCGGCUUCCCGCGCCUUGGCUGCACUGCUUGCUGUGGUGGUAUUCAUGGUCUGCUCUCCGGCGCCUCGUGUUCUCGCCACUGACCCCACCCAGCUCCAGGACUUCUGCGUUGCUGAUAUAAUGAACCCUGUGAUUGUGAAUGGGUUCGUGUGCAAGAACAUGAAGAUGGUAACGGCGAACGACUUCUUCUUGCCCGGGCUUAACAAGCCGGGCAUGUUGAACGCUCAGGGCUCGGCGGUGACACCGGUGACGGUGCGGCAGCUGCCGGGGCUGAACACGCUGGGCAUCUCAAUGGCGCGCAUCGACUUCGGGCCCAACGGCGGGCAGAACCCGCCGCACACACACCCCCGCGGCACCGAGAUCCUCACCGUGAUCAUGGGGCAGCUGCUGGUGGGGUUCGUCACCUCCAACCAGCAGGACGGGAAGAACCUGCUCUUCACCAAGCAACUAGUGGAGGGCGACGUAUUCGUGUUCCCACAGGGGCUCGUCCACUUCCAGGUGAACAACGGCAAGGUGCCCGCCGUGGCCAUCGCGGCGCUCAGCAGCCAGGACGCCGGCGUGAUCACCAUCGCCAACGCCGUCUUCGGGUCCACGCCGCCCAUCAGCGACCUCAUCCUCGCCAAGGCCUUCAUGACCGAGAAGGACACCGUCGACUGGAUCCAGGCCAAGUUCGCGCCGGCCAUGAGCGGCAACAGCAGCAUGGGAGGAGGCGGCUACGACAUGCCGCCCGGCGGCGGCGAGGGCGAAGGCGGCAACAGCACCGGCGGCGGUGGCGGGUACUACCCUGGCAUGCGCAAGCGGAAGCCCUAA
rnacentral:rRNA from 1 species